rnacentral:sRNA from 1 species
UACGAUGAACACCAGCUCAGCAAUGGCU